UACGUAGGGUGCGAGCGUUGUCCGGAAUUACUGGGCGUAAAGAGCUCGUAGGUGGUUUGUCGCGUUGUUCGUGAAAUCUCACGGCUUAACUGUGAGCGUGCGGGCGAUACGGGCAGACUGGAGUACUGCAGGGGAGACUGGAAUUCCUGGUGUAGCGGUGGAAUGCGCAGAUAUCAGGAGGAACACCGGUGGCGAAGGUGGCCUGCUGGGCAGUUGCUGACACUGAGGCGCGACAGCGUGGGGAGCAAACAGG
rnacentral:rRNA from 1 species